AACGCAAGUCUGCACGACCAGCUCCUUGUGGACUCCCCCAGGGUGGGAACACAGCAAGGGCAGCAGGUUGAGCGGUGCGAUGUGGGCUUGCAUUUUU
rnacentral:SRP_RNA from 1 species